rnacentral:ncRNA from 1 species
CUUAUAUGUUUCGGGAGCUGGAUGAAGUCCGGCUGAGAGUGUGACCGCGAAUGUCACUAACCGUAUCUGAUCUGGGUAAUGCCAGCGUAGAGAGAAUAACCCUGCCGACCA